CUUCCUCACUACUCUCACGAUGA
rnacentral:sRNA from 1 species